rnacentral:lncRNA from 1 species
GAAUUCCUUCAUGGCUCAGCAGGUUAAGGAUUUGGCCACUGGCCACUGUCACUGCUCUGGCUCUGUUUACAGCUGUCAGGGGGGUUUGAUCUCUGGCCAGGGAUCUUCCGCAUGCCACAGGUGCAGCCAAAAAAAAAAAAAAGGGGAAUUCAGAUUGUCAUACUUUUAAUGUUUGCUGAACUAGUGAGUGCAAAAUGAUAUCUUAGUUUUAAUUUGUAGUUCCUGAAUAAUUAAUUUGGUUGAGUAUUUAUUUAUUCAUGUGUUUGUUGGCUUUUCUAAUUUCCUUAUCUACAAAGUAAAUGCAGUUCAUAUCUCUCUUUACUUUCUUAGCCCUUUUAUAUCCACAUGUGGAUGAGGAGUUAAAGAUACAUGAGUAGCACUGAGGCAGAUGAAGAGGAAUGAGGCAGAAUGAGUGUUCCAAGAAGAGAAGACACCAUAUUUGAAAUGCCAGACAUCAGUGAGAAUGUGGGGUGUUUGAGAAACCAAGAGAAAUCCUAUGCAUUAUGAUGCUAAAAUGCAAGCUUUGAUUUUAAGUCUUUUCAGGAGAGAAAUGGAGCCAUGGAACAAAAUGAUCUCUAAGUUUACUUCUGGAUUUAAAAACUUUGUAUCUGAAGUUGUUUCAAGUGAACUCAAAAAAGAAAAAAAAAAAAAGGGCCUUGACCACUCAGUUACCCAGUCCCAAAACCUGAGUUCUACUCUUCUUCGUCCUUCAGAGAGAGAUAAAAUGAUAAAACAAAUACUACAAAAUGUUAAUGGGUGAACCUGAAUAAAUAAUAUGUAAGUUUUCUGUCUACUUAUUUAUUUAUUUAUUUAUUUAUUUAUAUUUAUUUAUUUAUUUUUUGCUAUUUCUUGGGCCGCUCCCACGGCAUAUGGAAGUUCCCAGGCUAGGGGUCGAAUCGGAGCUGUAGCUACCGGCCUACACCAGAGCCACAGCAACGCAGGAUCUGAG